rnacentral:rRNA from 1 species
UGCAAGUCGAACGCGAAAGUACCUUCGGGUAUGAGUAGAGUGGCGGACGGGUGAGUAACGCGUGGAAAUCUGCCUGGUAGUGGGGGAUAACAGUCGGAAACGACUGCUAAUACCGCAUACGUCCUACGGGAGAAAGCGGGGGAUCUUCGGACCUCGUGCUAUCAGAUGAGUCCGCGUCGGAUUAGCUAGUUGGUGAGGUAAGGGCUCACCAAGGCGACGAUCCGUAGCUGGUCUGAGAGGAUGAUCAGCCACACUGGGACUGAGACACGGCCCAGACUCCUACGGGAGGCAGCAGUGGGGAAUAUUGCGCAAUGGGCGAAAGCCUGAUCCAGCAAUGCCGCGUGUGUGAAGAAGGCCUGCGGGUUGUAAAGCACUUUCAGUUGGGAAGAUGAUGACGUUACCAACAGAAGAAGCACCGGCUAAAUCCGUGCCAGCAGCCGCGGUAAUACGGAUGGUGCGAGCGUUAAUCGGAAUUACUGGGCGUAAAGCGCGCGUAGGCGGCUAAGUCAGUCAGAAGUGAAAGCCCCGGGCUCAACCUGGGAAUUGCUUUUGAUACUGCUUAGCUAGAGUUUGGUAGAGGAUAGUGGAAUUCCAGGUGUAGCGGUGAAAUGCGUAGAUAUCUGGAGGAACAUCAGUGGCGAAGGCGACUGUCUGGACCAAAACUGACGCUGAGGUGCGAAAGCGUGGGUAGCAAACAGGAUUAGAUACCCUGGUAGUCCACGCCGUAAACGAUGUCAACUAGCCGUCGGGUCUAUUUACAGACUUGGUGGCGCAGCUAACGCGAUAAGUUGACCGCCUGGGGAGUACGGCCGCAAGGUUAAAACUCA